GCCCAAGUGGUGGAAUGGCAGACACCAGGGACUUAAAAUCCCUUGCUUUCAAAAGCGUAUCGGUUCGAGUCCGAUCUUGGGCA
rnacentral:tRNA from 1 species